GAUGAACGCUGGCGGCGUGCCUAAUACAUGCAAGUCGAGCGAACAGAUGAGGAGCUUGCUCCUCUGACGUUAGCGGCGGACGGGUGAGUAACACGUGGAUAACCUACCUAUAAGACUGGGAUAACUUCGGGAAACCGGAGCUAAUACCGGAUAAUAUAUUGAACCGCAUGGUUCAAUAGUGAAAGACGGUUUUGCUGUCACUUAUAGAUGGAUCCGCGCCGCAUUAGCUAGUUGGUAAGGUAACGGCUUACCAAGGCAACGAUGCGUAGCCGACCUGAGAGGGUGAUCGGCCACACUGGAACUGAGACACGGUCCAGACUCCUACGGGAGGCAGCAGUAGGGAAUCUUGCGCAAUGGGCGAAAGCUUGACGGAGCAACGCCGCGUGAGUGAUGAAGGUCUUCGGAUCGUAAAACUCUGUUAUUAGGGAAGAACAAAUGUGUAAGUAACUAUGCACGUCUUGACGGUACCUAAUCAGAAAGCCACGGCUAACUACGUG
rnacentral:rRNA from 1 species